ACAAAAAAUCUACAAAUCCGAGCUUGACAAGUCAGCUGAAUUCUAUAACAUUUCUUCAAUUUGACCAGACCGGUUGAGGCUCCAGCAAAUGAGGUUACCAAAAAAUCUAAUUCGCAGCCCAAAAUAAACCCGUCAAAGUUAUAUUUUUCACCUUACCUGGAGACUGGAACUCAGAACAGCCAGAUGCGAUUCAACUUCUGUGUAAUUGAAGCUCUCCACUUCUUUGAUUCUUCAGUUCCUCAUCAAUUCCGUAACGUUCCAUGUGAACUCUUCACUUCCUCCAACAUCAACAUAUAUUAAGUUACCAGCGUACAUUCCUGCACUCCAGUUCCCCACACCCAGUAAUGAAAACCAAUUGUAUCAAUGGCAAGCAAAAUCACAAAAUCAAGCACCAUAAGCUAUAAGUACUGUGAAAAAACACGUAAGGUUUUUCAUUAUAACUCCAGUUUUUAAAUUUAAAUAGUGGAAUAUUCAACCAUUAAUCUCAUUGUCUAUGUUGUCUGCGAUAAGAAAAUUAGUUGUUGUCUUUUGAUUUUAAGAAUUAUAUUUCAGAAAAUGGAUGGAGCAAUCGUUUCUUCAGAACCUCCACACCAUGUCGUUAUCUUAUCUUGCGAGCACCAUCAAGAAGAGUUUGAGAGAUUUUCAAUUCCUCAAAAAGACGGAGAUCGUCGCGCCAAAACCGAUUGGUUUUCUCUGCAGCUUCAUCCCUCUUCUCGGAGGUAAAUUGUUUCCAAAUUUCACUACAACUCGCUCAAGUCUCCACGUUUCCAAGUUAACUUCGAAAUUUCAGGUCAUUUUACGAAUAUAUGAAAACUCUGAAUAUAUUGGAUAGAGAAUGAAUCACUUAUGUUAAUAGUGUUUUUGUAGUUCUAUUAAUAUCUUCUCAUAGAAAACAAUAUGAGACUUAUGAAGUGAAUAAAGUUGGACAUAAUUUUACCAGGAAAGGUUUCUCUCCAACCUGACAUUUUCAAAAGACAAGAUACACUCAAAACACCUUCGCGGCUGAAAAUCUCUUAAGGUGAACACUUUUUAUAAAUAAACGAUCCAGAAAAUUUUAAUAUGUUCUCUUAUACUUUGGAAUAUAGGGAAACAAGCCGUCAGUUCUCGACCAUUACUAUGCCGGCUGGUAAGAAAACUUCUCGGAAGAGGAAAUGUCUAAAUGAUGAUGAAUUGAUAAUUCCAAACAAGUAAGAUAUCUUUUUUGUAACCUUGGAUAAUAUUCAUCUACGGAGUUCCUUAAUAUGUAUGUGUGUAAUAUAUAUACAUUGGUUAUAGUGUACAGUUAUGAAGGAAAUGACAGAAGACAUAAGUACAUUUGUCACAAAACUGAGAAAGGUUCCUCAUACUGACUAUUAUGAGAGAAGAAUCAAACGUUUUUCCGAUCAAUGGAAAUGUAUAAAACAGACAUGCUUGGAUAUUCCCACAUAUAUUUCAAUAAACUACAUAUUAGCGUUUUACUUCUUCUCGGUUUCCUUUGUCUUUCAUGCAAACCUUUUUGUCUGAUUGUCUAAUAGAGGAGAGGCAAGAAGUUGUUACUGAAAAGGUUGUGUGCAACAAGCUCAAGUUCAUCACCAUUGUGAAAUGACUUGAACUGUUUGAUAAAACUCAGCAACGCGUCUAAAAUCCUUCGAAUGAAGUUGGCGCAUCAGUUGUCAAGGUACCUGAAAUAUUCAUUUCCUUCACUGAAGAUGGGAAGAACGUUCAAGCUGGUUGAUGAUCACCUGUGUCCUUGGUUUUUGGCAUGGCAGGUUCAUGGCCGGUUUCACGUAGACGAGCUAGAAAUCUACUCUCACUUGUGUGGUUGCUUAUGGUAUAGAUAAAAAAUGUUGUAGACUUUCAUUACUUAUUUAUGUGAUGAUAUGAAGCUUUUUUUUGUUUGACUUUCUAGCUAUUGCUUUGUCAAACCUCUCCUUUUGUUUUCUUGGCUUAGCGCUGUUUCUUCUACUGCAAAACGAGGUUAUAGGAAGGAUUUUGUGCUAUGUAAUACUGAUUCAUUUAAUAGUUAGCUUAUGUGUUA